UGGCUGUCGUCAGCUCGUGUCGUGAGAUGUUCGGUUAAGUCCGCUAACGAGCGCAACCCUCGCUGUGUGUUAUAUGUGUCACACGGGACUGCCGGUCUUAAGCCGGAGGAAGGUGGGGAUGAUGUCAAGUCAGCAUGGCCUUUAUAUCCUGGGCUACACACACGCUACAAUGGCCAACACAAUAGGUUGCUAAGCCGCGAGGUGGCGCCAAUCCAUAAAGUUGGUCUCAGUUCAGAUUGUAGGCUGCAACCCGCCUGCAUGAAGAUGGAGUUGCUAGUAACCGCAGGUCAGCUAUACUGCGGUGAAUACGUUCCCGGGGCUU
rnacentral:rRNA from 1 species